rnacentral:rRNA from 1 species
UGGGGAAUAUUGCGCAAUGGGGGGAACCCUGACGCAGCCAUGCCGCGUGAAUGAAGAAGGCCUUCGGGUUGUAAAGUUCUUUCGGUGAUGAGGAAGGGGUAUUAUUGAAUAGAUAAUAUCAUUGACGUUAAUUACAGAAGAAGCACCGGCUAACUCCGUGCCAGCAGCCGCGGUAAUACGGAGGGUGCGAGCGUUAAUCGGAAUAACUGGGCGUAAAGGGCACGCAGGCGGACUUUUAAGUGAGAUGUGAAAUCCCCGAGCUUAACUUGGGAACUGCAUUUCAGACUGGGAGUCUAGAGUACUUUAGGGAGGGGUAGAAUUCCACGUGUAGCGGUGAAAUGCGUAGAGAUGUGGAGGAAUACCGAAGGCGAAGGCAGCCCCUUGGGAAUGUACUGACGCUCAUGUGCGAAAGCGUGGGGAGCAAACAGG